GGGGGUGUCACGGUUUCGACGGGGGCACCGAACGAAGAGACUGCGUGUCGCGGAUCCCGAGCCUCCGCGUCAAAACGACUCGGGAAACAGUAGCUGCGAACGACAGCAACUACGGCCGUAUGGCCCUCGUCGCCUAAGAACCGACGACGUGAGCAGGUGAGGAGCUCGACUAGCCUGCAAGCGUGGACACACGAGCUGGUCGCCACGGUCGCCGCACCGUGCUGACGAGACCAAGCGGCUGGGCAACCGGGUCGCCUGCCGAUGGGCGUGCCGGGAG
rnacentral:tmRNA from 1 species